GUGGGGGCGAAGAUUGGGUU
rnacentral:miRNA from 1 species